CCUACGGGUGGCAGCAGUGAGGAAUAUUGGUCAAUGGACGAGAGUCUGAACCAGCCAAGUAGCGUGAAGGAUGACUGCCCUAUGGGUUGUAAACUUCUUUUAUAUGGGAAUAAAAUGUUCCACGUGUGGGAUUUUGUAUGUACCCUAUGAAUAAGGAUCGGCUAACUCCGUGCCAGCAGCCGCGGUAAUACGGAGGAUCCGAGCGUUAUCCGGAUUUAUUGGGUUUAAAGGGAGCGUAGGUGGAUUGUUAAGCCAGGUGUGAAAGUUUGCGGCUCAACCGGAAAAUUGCAGUUGAAACUGGCAGUCUUGAGUACAGUAGAGGUGGGCGGAAUUCGUGGUGUAGCGGUGAAAUGCUUAGAUAUCACGAAGAACUCCGAUUGCGAAGGCAGUUCACUGGACUGCAACUGACACUGAGGCUCGAAAGUGUGGGUAUCAAACAGGAUUAGAUACCCGUGUAGUC
rnacentral:rRNA from 1 species